rnacentral:rRNA from 1 species
CCUACGGGUGGCAGCAGUGGGGAAUAUUGCACAAUGGGGGAAACCCUGAUGCAGCGACGCCGCGUGAGGGAAGAAGUAUUUCGGUAUGUAAACCUCUAUCAGCCGGGGAGAAAAUGACGGUACCUGACUAAGAAGCCCCUGCUAAAUACGUGCCAGCAGCCGCGGUAAUACGUAGGGGGCAAGCGUUAUCCGGAUUUACUGGGUGUAAAGGGAGGGUAGGCGGUAGAGCAAGUCGGGAGUGAAAGGCGGGGGCUCAAACCCCGGACUGCUGUUGAAACUGUUGAACUAGAGUGCAGGAGAGGUAAGUGGAAUGCCUAGUGUAGCGGUGAAAUGCGUAGAUAUUAGGAGGAACACCAGUGGCGAAGGCGGCUUACUGGACUGUAACUGACGCUGAGGCACGAAAGCGUGGGGAGCAAACAGGAUUAGAUACCCGGGUAGUC